rnacentral:rRNA from 1 species
AGAGUUUGAUUAUGGCUCAGGAUGAACGCUAGCUACAGGCUUAACACAUGCAAGUCGAGGGGCAGCAUUUUAGUUUGCUUGCAAACUAAAGAUGGCGACCGGCGCACGGGUGAGUAACACGUAUCCAACCUGCCGAUAACUCGGGGAUAGCCUUUCGAAAGAAAGAUUAAUAUCCGAUAGUAUAUUAAAACCGCAUGGUUUUACUAUUAAAGAAUUUCGGUUAUCGAUGGGGAUGCGUUCCAUUAGUUUGUUGGCGGGGUAACGGCCCACCAAGACUACGAUGGAUAGGGGUUCUGAGAGGAAGGUCCCCCACAUUGGAACUGAGACACGGUCCAA